rnacentral:tRNA from 1 species
GCCUGGGUGGCUCAGUGGUUAAGCGCCAGACUUCGGCUCAGGUCAUGAUCUCACAGUUUGUGGGUUCGAGCCCCACGUCAGGCU